GCCAGCCGCCCUGGAGGACGUGGAGGGGAGGCAGCCACAGUCCUGGAGAGGCCUGAGCCUGAACAACAUGGCUUCCCCCAGCGUGAGACUCGCUUGUCCUCCCACCGCCUGCUCUCUCCUGAUGACCAGGUUCCAGGAGUUAUCAAAGAACAGCCUCUGAGCUGCGUGGAGAAAGCCAUGGAGACAGCCAGAAGAAAACGGCAGGAUUAGAUUAACCUGUGAUUCCUGGCUGGCCACGAGGUCACCCAUGGCAUGGAGCUGCCCACAACGCCCUUCUCAGCAUGAAGCAUCCUGAAAGAUCCAGGGCCAGGUUCCCCAGGAUUGGGGAGUUGGAAGCUCAUUGGCACUGUCAAAUUUGAAGAAGAGGCGUGCUCUGACUGCCUGGACAGGACCCGGAAUCAAACCGCAGGCCCUGGGUCACCGCUGCCGGAAAGAGCCAGUUCCUGUCCGUCCAUGCACCCACCACCAAAACCCAGGCCUUCCUGGAGGUGCUAGGGGAGGCCAUGCCCCUUUUCUGAGUGCUUGGAAGUGACUGCUGCAAGUGACAAGUGACCACGCCUUUUCCCCCGCGGGUAUAAAUUCAGAGGCGCUGCGCUCCGAUUCUGGCAGUGCAGCUGUGGGAACCUCUCCACGCGCACGAACUCAGCCAACGAUUUCUGAUAGAUUUUUGGGAGUUUGACCAGAGAUGCAAGGGGUGAAGGAGCGCUUCCUACCGUUAGGGAACUCUGGGGACAGAGCGCCCCGGCCGCCUGAUGGCCGAGGCAGGGUGCGACCCAGGACCCAGGACGGCGUCGGGAACCAUACCAUGGCCCGGAUCCCCAAGACCCUAAAGUUCGUCGUCGUCAUCGUCGCGGUCCUGCUGCCAGUGAGUCCCGGCCGCGGUCCCUGGCUGGGGAAGAGCGCACCUGGCGCCGGGAGGGGGCAGGGAGACGGGGACACGGCAGGGAUGCCUGGCCCUGGUCACCUGCGGCCGGGCAUGUCCGGGCAGGACGAACUCGCCGUCGGAGUCAGGGGAAGAACUGGGUCCCCGGGCUGGGCAGGAGGGACCCGGCCGCGAGGGAGCAGAGAGGCGGUCCCCCUGGCUGCCCCGAGCCCGCGAAGGGAGGGAAGUUCCAGAAUCGAGAGAGGGAGGGAGUCAAGGUGGAACCCAUAGAGUGAGCCUCCUGAAGACACAGAGCGGUUGCCUCUCUCAUUAAUUAAUUAAUUAGUUAAUAAAAUUAACCCCAUGUUUACAUUCUUAAAAAAAAAAAAAAAAAAAAAAA
rnacentral:lncRNA from 1 species